AAUUUUUUGGCGUAAACACUAUUUUUUUUUUUCUUUUUUGGUCUUUUUGCCUUUUCUAGGGCCGCUCCCGCCGCAUAUGGAGGUUCCCAGGCUAGGGGUCGAAUCGCAGCUGUAGCCACCGGCCUACGCCACAGCCACAGCAAUGGUGGAUCCAAGCCGCAUCUGCAACCUACACCACAGCUCACGGCAACGUCGGAUCCCUAACCCACUGAGCAAGGCCAGGGAUCGAACCCCCAACCUCAUGGUUCCUAGUUGGGUUCGUUAACCACUGCGCCACGACGGGAACUGCUGGAGUCAACACUGCUAAAACUCGCUUGGGGAAGAAAAAGAAGUGUGAGGCUCAAAUGCUUGUCUCAACAGAAUCAACUUCUACAGUAAAAUGCACAUUUCCAAAGGGAAAUACCUGAGCCAAACUAAACUGACAAGGCGUGUUUGCGUAAAUGUAAAAGGAACAUUUUCAUGGUCUAUUUUUAACUUUUGAUGCACAAUCAACUGCUAAAGGCUAUUUUGGGUGGUCGGAACUGUGGCUUUGAAGACCCUGUAUUUUGCUUUAUCAGCCAGAUCUGAAAAGAGAAGCUGCGUUAUCGUCAGAUGCUGGAUGAAUGGGUUUUGCUCAUUGAUGAGAUUAUGCUAUGGUGAUUUUACAAGCAUAAGUGGAAGGAGGCCAGGGACACAGGCUGCUGAAGUGGCCUAGAAAAGUCAGGAAGCAGUCGUGCAGAUUGUGGGGAAGCCCAGGACGAGAAGACUGUCUGGCCUCGGGGCUGGAACUCAGAAAAUGUCCAGCGCUCAUAGCCUUCAGAAAGACAGGUGAUAGGAAGCCCUGGAGUUCAAGGCGAAGCUGCUCGGAGGGGGAAGGGCAGAAAGAAAGUCACCAGAAGGCAGUCAAAAGGUCAAAAGUGGUGGUGUCUUCACAGCCUUUCAGAGUCAAAAGGGUCGAAGAUGGAACGCAGGUAUUCACGCAACAAAGAAGGACUGAGGCUUGUCAACCUCUCCGGCAGAACCUCAUCGACGUAUUAGGCACCCAUUCGCACUGGGCACUGGGGACAAAUCGGUGACAAGGGACGUUAUCAUGGAGCGUCCAAGUCUCGUGGGAGAGGCAAAUCAUCAGAU
rnacentral:lncRNA from 1 species